GUAGGUGGCAAGCGUUGUCCGGAAUUAUUGGGCGUAAAGCGCGCGCAGGCGGUUUUUUAAGUCUGAUGUGAAAGCCCACGGCUCAACCGUGGAGGGUCAUUGGAAACUGGAGAACUUGAGUACAGAAGAGGAAAGCGGAAUUCCACGUGUAGCGGUGAAAUGCGUAGAGAUGUGGAGGAACACCAGUGGCGAAGGCGGCUUUCUGGUCUGUAACUGACGCUGAGGCGCGAAAGCGUGGGGAGCAAACAGGAUUAGAUACCCUGGUAGUCCACGCCGUAAACGAUGAGUGCUAAGUGUUAGGGGGUUUCCGCCCCCCUUAGUGCUGCAGCUAACGCAUUAAGCACUCCGCCUGGGAGUACGGCCGCAAGGCUG
rnacentral:rRNA from 1 species